UACAGAGGGUGCGAGCGUUAAUCGGAAUUACUGGGCGUAAAGCGCACGUAGUCGGCUUUGCAAGUCGGUUGUGAAAUCCCCGGGCUCAACCUGGGAACUGCAUCCGAGACUGCAUUGCUAGAGUAUGGGAGAGGGAAGCGGAAUUUCUGGUGUAGCAGUGAAAUGCGUAGAUAUCAGAAGGAACAUCAGUGGCGAAGGCGGCUUCCUGGACCAACACUGACACUGAUGAGCGAAAGCCAGGGGAGCAAACGGG
rnacentral:rRNA from 1 species